UCUGCUGUAAAUUUUAAGUUACCAUAUACUGGGCAGAUCUGUCNNNNNNNNNNNNNNNNNNNNNNNNNNNNNNNNNNNNNNNNNNNNNNNNNNNNNNNNNNNNNNNNNNNNNNNNNNNNNNNNNNNNNNNNNNNNNNNNNNNNCCCCAAAAUUCACAAUUCUCCCUCAAAACAGUCCAAAAAUCCCAAAGAUUCCCAAAUCUCUCUCAAAAACCUCCUCAAAACCCCCUCAACCUCCCAGAAACCCCAAUCCGAUCCCAUUUCCUGUUGUUUUCCCAUUUCCUGUUUUUCCCGUUGUUUCCCAUGUUCCCAUUCCUAUUAUUCCCAUUGUCAUUCCCACUGUUCCCAUUCCGGCUGUUCCCAUUCCUGCUGUCAUUCCCAUCAUUCCAGCUGUUCCCAUUCCCGGUGUUCCCAUCAUUCCAACUGUUCCCAUUCCCGCUGUUGCCGUUCCGGCUGUUCCCGUCAUUCCGGCUGUUCCUGUCAUUCCCCCCAUUGUCAUUCCCGUUGUUCCCAUUCCCACUGUUAUUCCCAUCCUUCCAGCUGUUCCUGUCAUUCCCCGUUGUUGUCAUUCCGGCUGUUCCAGUCAUUCUGCCUGUUCCUGUCAUUCCAGCUGUUCCCAUCAUUCCAGCUGUUCCCAUCAUUCCAGCUGUUCCUGCCAUUCUGCCUGUUGCCGUCAUUCCCACUGUUCCCAUUCCCAUCAUUCCCGCUGUCAUUCCCGGCUGUUCCCGUUAUUCCGCCUGUUCCCAUCAUUCCCAUCAUUCCCGUCAGUUCCCAUUCCCACUGUUCCCAUUCCUGUCAUUCCCAUCAUUCCGCCUGUUCCCAUCAUUCCCGGUAUCCUGGCUGUUCCCAUCACUCCGGCUGUUUCCAUCAUUCUGACUGUUCCCAUUCCCGCUGUUGCCGUUCCGGCUGUUCCUGUCAUUCCGCCUGUUCCCAUUAUUCCUGGCUGUUCCCAUCAUUCCGGCUGUUGCCGUCAUUCCGCCUGUUCCCAUUCCCACUGUUCCCAUUCCUGUCAUUCCCAUCAUUCUGGCUGUUCCCAUCAUUCCCGGUAUCCCGGCUGUUCCCGUCAUUCCGGCUGUUCCCAUUCCCACUGUUCCCAUUCCGGCUGUUCCCGUCAUUCCGGCUGUUCCCAUUCCCUCUGCUCCCAUUCCGGCUGUUCCCAUCAUUCCGGCUGUUCCCAUCAUUCCGACUGUUCCUGUCAUUCCCAUCAUUCCCGUUGUCAUUCCCACUGUUCCUGUUAUUCCGGCUGUUCCCGUUAUUCCGGCUGUUCCCAUCAUUCCCACUGUUCCCAUUCCCCCUGUUCCCAUUCCAGCUGUUCCCAUUAUUCCAGCUGUCGUUCCCAUCAUUCUGGCUGUUCCAAUCAUUCCCGUUGUUCCUGUCAUUCCUGCCAUUCCCAUCAUUCCCACUGUUCCCAUCAUUCCGCCUGUUCCCGGCAUUCCCACUGUUCCCAUUCCGGCUGUUCCCAUUAUCCCGGCUGUCAUUCCUGUCACUCCGGCUGUCACUCCCGUCACCCGUUCCAGCUGUCAUUCCCAUUAUCCCGGCUGUUCCCAUUAUCCCGGCUGUCAUUCCUGUCACUCUGGCUGUUCCCGUUAUUCGGGCUGUUACUCCUGUCACUCAUUCCGACUGUUCCCAUUAUCCCGGCUGUUCCCGUUAUCCCGGCUGUCAUUCCCGUCAGUCCGGCUGUCACUCCCGUCACCCGUUCCGGCUGUUCCCGUUAUCCCGGCUGUCACUCCUGUCACCCAUUCCGGCUGUCAUUCCCGUUAUCCCGGCUGUUCCCGUUAUCCCGGCUGUCAUUCCCAUCACUCCGGCUGUUCCCAUCAUUCCCGUCACUCUGGCUGUCAUUCCUGUCACCCGUUCCGGCUGUCAUUCCCAUUAUCCCGGCUGUUCCCGUUAUCCCAGCUGUCAUUCCUGUCACUCCGGCUGUCCCCAUCGUCCCCGUCACCCGUUCCGGCUGUCACUCCCAUCACCCAUUCUGGCUGUCAUUCCCGUAAUCCGUUCCGGUUGUCACUCCCAUUAUCCCGGCUGUCAUUCCCAUUAUCCCGGCUGUUACUCCCGUCACCCGUUCCAGCUGUUAUUCCCGUCACCCGUUCCGGCUGUUCCCAUUAUCCCGGCUGUUCCCGUUAUCCCGGCUGUCACUCCCGUCACCUAUUCCGGCUGUCCCCAUCACUCCCGUCACCCGUUCCGGCUGUCAUUCCCGUUAUCCCGGCUGUCAUUCCCGUUAUCCUGGCUGUCACUCCCAUCACCCGUUCCGGCUGUUCCCAUUAUCCCAGCUGUUCCCGUUAUUCCGGCUGUCACUCCUGUCACCUAUUCCAGCUGUCCCCAUCAUUCCCGUCACCCGUUCCGGCUGUUACUCCCGUUAUCCCGGCUGUCAUUCCCGUUAUCCCGGCUGUCACUCCCGUCACCCGUUCUGGCUGUUCCCGUUAUCCCGGCUGUCAUUCCCGUCACCCGUUCCGGCUGUUCCCGUUAUCCCGGCUGUCCCCAUCACUCCCGUCACCCGUUCCGGCUGUUCCCGUUAUCCCGGCUGUCAUUCCCGUCACCCGUUCCGGCUGUUCCCAUUAUCCCAGCUGUUCCCAUCACUCCCGUCACCCGUUCUGGCUGUCAUUCCCGUUAUCCCGGCUGUCACUCCCAUCACCCGUUCCGGCUGUUCCCGUUAUCCCAGCUGUCAUUCCCGUUAUCCCGGCUGUCCCUCCCGUCACCCGUUCCGGCUGUUCCC
ensembl:lncRNA